rnacentral:rRNA from 1 species
GUGGGGAAUAUUGGACAAUGGGCGAAAGCCUGAUCCAGCAAUGCCGCGUGGGUGAAGAAGGUCUUCGGAUCGUAAAGCCCUUUCGACGGGGACGAUGAUGACGGUACCCGUAGAAGAAGCCCCGGCUAACUUCGUGCCAGCAGCCGCGGUAAUACGAAGGGGGCUAGCGUUGCUCGGAAUUACUGGGCGUAAAGGGCGCGUAGGCGGUUCUGCAAGUCAGGCGUGAAAUUCCUGGGCUCAACCUGGGGACUGCGCUUGAGACUGUGGGACUUGAGGAUGGAAGAGGCUCGUGGAAUUCCCAGUGUAGAGGUGAAAUUCGUAGAUAUUGGGAAGAACACCGGUGGCGAAGGCGGCGAGCUGGUCCAUUACUGACGCUGAGGCGCGACAGCGUGGGGAGCAAACAGG